AGGGCAGCUUGGACUUGGAGACUUGAGGCCCUGGUUUCUCUCACAGUGUUGAGAGCAGGGAGGAGCUGAGUAAUUUCUGGAAAUUUCUUAGCUAUUUUCUGAUCAGUAUUUUGGUAUUUUUCUAUGUAUCUCUUGGAUUUUAAGGUGUAACAAAAAACUCCAGUUCCUGAGACAAAGAAACAGCUGCUCAUUAUUUGUUAUAAGCAUGGAGAAUAUGAUCUGGCUUUAAGAUUGACAAAAAUAUACCAGUUUACGAGUGAGUAAUGCUUUCAUUAACUCAAAUUCGGAAGUUGGUGGAUGAUGCAUGCCAUUCUCUCAGAUAAAUUCUCCUCUCUGGGCAGGGUUCUGCCUGAAGGUUGAGCACCCAGAUGCCUUGUUUUUGUGCCAUCGGUUACAAAGUCAGGGAUAUGACCACUGUUACUUCAAAAAAUCUUGGUGGGCACUAGCAUAGUCUUCAAUUCUCAAUGCAGGCUGCUCAAACAGCAUUAUUUCAAGCCAGCUUGUAAUAAAGGAUUCUGAAAUGACAGAAUAUUUGAUUUGUCUAUGAAUGACAGAUGAUAAUUUUACAUGAUUCCUUAUUUUUAGCGAAUGAGUAUUCUAUUGUGACGUU